rnacentral:rRNA from 1 species
AUUGAACGCUGGCGGUAUGCUUUACACAUGCAAGUCGAACGGUAACAGGCCUUCGGGUGCUGACGAGUGGCGAACGGGUGAGUAAUGCAUCGGAACGUACCCAGAGGUGGGGGAUAACGCAGCGAAAGCUGUGCUAAUACCGCAUGUGAUCUGAGGAUGAAAGCGGGGGACCGAGCAGCAAUGUUUGGCCUCGCGCCUUUGGAGCGGCCGAUGUCGGAUUAGCUAGUUGGUGGGGUAAGGGCCUACCAAGGCGACGAUCCGUAGCUGGUCUGAGAGGACGACCAGCCACACUGGGACUGAGACACGGCCCAGACUCCUACGGGAGGCAGCAGUGGGGAAUUUUGGACAAUGGGCGCAAGCCUGAUCCAGCAAUGCCGCGUGCGGGAAGAAGGCCUUCGGGUUGUAAACCGCUUUUGGCAGGAACGAAACGGUGUCCGCUAAUACCGGGCGCUAAUGACGGUACCUGCAGAAUAAGCACCGGCUAACUACGUG